rnacentral:rRNA from 1 species
AUUGAACGCUGGCGGAAUGCUUUACACAUGCAAGUCGAACGGUAGAGGGGGCAACCCCUUGAGAGUGGCGAACGGGUGAGUAAUAUAUCGGAACGUGCCCAGUCGUGGGGGAUAACGUAGUGAAAAUUACGCUAAUACCGCAUACGAUCUAAGGAUGAAAGCGGGGGAUCGCAAGACCUCGCGCGAUUGGAGCGGCCGAUAUCAGAUUAGGUAGUUGGUAGGGUAAAGGCCUACCAAGCCAACGAUCUGUAGCUGGUCUGAGAGGACGACCAGCCACACUGGAACUGAGACACGGUCCAGACUCCUACGGGAGGCAGCAGUGGGGAAUUUUGGACAAUGGACGCAAGUCUGAUCCAGCCAUUCCGCGUGCAGGAUGAAGGCCCUCGGGUUGUAAACUGCUUUUGUACGGAACGAAAAGGUUUCUAUUAAUACUAGGAGCUCAUGACGGUACCGUAAGAAUAAGCACCGGCUAACUACGUG